UUUAAUUUUUCUUUUCUUUCGAUAAUGUUCAUUAUCAUUAUUUGCUACAUGUGUCUCUUCCCUUCGUCUUCUCCAAUUCUUUUUCUCUUUCUUCGUCUUCUUCGGUUUGCUUUCUUUUUUUCUCCCCUCCUUUUCUUCUUUUUCUUCGUCUUUUUCAGUUUCUUUUCCUUUUUUUUUCCUCUUUUUCUCCUUUUUUUGUCUUCUUCUUCUUCUCUGGCUUUAUCUUCUCCACAGAGCAAGCCGAUGGUGGUGGACCAGUGGCUGUGGUGUCGCGCGGCACUGUGAAGGCGUCGGUGAUGGCAUUGAGCAAUGAUUGACAAGUCGAUUUGGUGGUGCUGGAUCGGGUGAUAUGAAGUUCAUCGUGAAGGAUUGGGGUGAAAAUGUUGAAAAAAUUUCUUAAUUUUUUCCUCUGUAAUGCAAUGCGGUAUAAACCCGUCACCCCCUCGGGUUUGAUUUAUGCGGAUUUGACCGCAUUAACUUUAUAAGUUAAUGCAAUACAGUUUAAGAGCCAAACAUGUGUUAGUAUUAACUUAAUGUAAACAAUAUUUUUAUCUCAUGUUAAGCGGACUACCCACCCUGUAUGUAAUACAAUGUAUUGUAAUACAAUACAUUGUAUGAACAAUAUUUGUAUUGUAAUACAAUAUGUACUAUAUUUGUAUUACAAUACAAAUAUUGUAUUGUAAUAUGUACAAUAUA
rnacentral:lncRNA from 1 species